rnacentral:rRNA from 1 species
UGGGGAAUAUUGCGCAAUGGGGGAAACCCUGACGCAGCAACGCCGCGUGAAGGAUGAAGGUUUUCGGAUCGUAAACUUCUUUGAUGAGGGACGAACAAAAUGACGGUACCUCAAAAACAAGCCACGGCUAACUACGUGCCAGCAGCCGCGGUAAUACGUAGGUGGCGAGCGUUGUCCGGAAUUACUGGGUGUAAAGGGCGUGUAGGCGGGGAUGUAAGUCAGAUGUGAAAUCCCAUGGCUCAACUGUGGGGCUGCAUCUGAAACUAUGUCUCUUGAGUGCCGGAGAGGGAAGCGGAAUUCCUAGUGUAGCGGUGAAAUGCGUAGAUAUUAGGAGGAACACCAGUGGCGAAGGCGGCUUUCUGGACGGUAACUGACGCUGAGGCGCGAAAGCGUGGGGAGCAAACA